AUUGAACGCUGGCGGCAUGCUUUACACAUGCAAGUCGAGCGGCAGCGCGGGGGCAACCUUGGCGGCGAGCGGCGAACGGGUGAGUAAUGCAUCGGAACGUAUCCUGUAGUGGGGAAUAACUCACCGAAAGGUGAGCUAAUACCGCAUAAGCUCUGAGGAGGAAAGCGGGGGACCGAAAGGCCUCGCGCUGCAGGAGCGGCCGAUGUCCGAUUAGCUAGUUGGUGAGGUAAAGGCUCACCAAGGCGACGAUCGGUAGCUGGUCUGAGAGGAUGAUCAGCCACACUGGGACUGAGACACGGCCCAGACUCCUACGGGAGGCAGCAGUGGGGAAUUUUGGACAAUGGGGGAAACCCUGAUCCAGCCAUGCCGCGUGAGUGAAGAA
rnacentral:rRNA from 1 species